rnacentral:siRNA from 1 species
CCAAGGGUUGGGAUUGGUUCC